CACAAAAGAGUAUUACUCAGCCAUAAAAACAGGUGAGAUUUUGCCAUGUGAGAUGUGUUGUGUCUAAAGGAUAUUAUGCUAAGUGAAAUAAAUCAGGCAGAGGAAGACAAAUACCAUAUGAUUUCACUUAGAUGUGGAAUCUAAAAAAACAAAGGAACAGACAAAAAAAAAAAAAAAAACAGCAACAGACCCAUAAAUAGAGAAUAACAUGGUAGUUGCCAGAGUGCAGGAGUGUGGGGGGAUGGGCAAAAUGGGUGCAAGGGAAUAGGAGGUUAAGGUUUCAAGUUAGGGAAUGUGUAAGUCACAGGGAUAAAAGGUACAGAAUAGGAAAUACAAUCAAUGGUAUUGG